UUACAUUACACACAGUACACCCAGCAUUUAUUCAAUCAGGAUAAUACUAUACAUAUGAAAAAAAAAAUCAGUAAUUCUUAUUUAUUUUUCUUUUCCUUUUUUUUUUCUUUCUCUUUCUCACGGCUAGACUUGAUUUUAACCAUCGAAAAAAAAAUAAGAAAUACGAUUGACAGGUCACAAAGACAAAGGAGAGGAUAAUUACAGAACAACACCACAGCUCAAUGGUUAUACAUACUGGGGAAAUGAAAUACGUGCAUGGUAAGGACACGUGAUUCCCUGAAAAUAGAGAAUACCUGCAUGAAAGCUGGAAGAUGAAUUAAGAUUUCUGACGAUUGAUUUAUGAUUAGUGUCCACUGACCAUGGAAGUCCACAGAUGGCUACUUUACAGAACCUUUAAGGAGCAUAUUACUCACCGGAGGAUGUAUACACAGGAGAAUCAAUACCCUUUUUAAUCUGACUGACUUUACUUUGAGCCCCUGGCUGUCUAGCCCCAGAAGGGUCCAUCUUCAAUAAAUGUUUUUUCACU